rnacentral:lncRNA from 1 species
GCUCUGCAGCAUGUGGAGUUUCCAGGCCGGGGAUCGGAUUUGAGCCACAGUUGCAACCUAUGCUGCAGCUGCGGCACUGGUAGAUCUUUAACCCACUGUGCGAGGCCAGGGAUCGAACUUGCAUCCUGGUGCUCGAUCCUGGUGAUCGAACGCCGCUGAUCCUGUUGUGCCACAGCAGGAACUCCUGGGGUUACUUUUAUUUGCUCAGUGUCUGUCAUGUGGGGAGAGACAUUCCACACCAUUGAAGAGCAGAACAGUAAGAAAGGCAGAAUAACAUUCCCCAAGGAUGUCUACAUCCUGAUCCCCAGAACCUAGGAAUAUCACAUGCAAGAGGAAAUUAAGGUUGCAAAUCAGCUGACCUUAAGCUGGAUUAUCCAGGUGGUCCCAAUGUCAUCACAAGGAUCCUUACACAUGAAAGAGGAAGGCAGGGGGGUUGAAGUCAAGAGUGACAUGACCUGAUGUGAGGAAGACUCUACUGGGCAUUUGUCGGCUUUGAAUCGGGUGAAGGGGCCACAAGCCAAGGACUGUGGCUGGCCUCUAACAGCUGGAAGAUGCCAAGAAACAGUUUCUUCUCUAGAGUCUCCACCAAGGAACAGAGCACUGCCAACACCUUUCUUUUAGCCCAGCGAGGUCCAUUCUGGACUCCUGGACCCCAGAACUUCAAGAUAACAUGUUGGCAUUACUUUAAGCCACUAGGUUUGUGGGCACUUGUUAUAGCAGCCCUAGAAGACUAAUUCAGAUGGGGUUUGUACUUGCAAGACCCCAGUGCUGUGGAAAUGGCUUUGACCAGGCUGUCUUCCUGGAGGGAUGGUUCUUUAAGCUCUGUGUGCAUGUAUAUCACCUGGGGUUCUCGUCUCAAUUCAGAUUCCUGGGCCCUUCCCCAGAGUUCUAACUCAGGAGGCCCAGGAAUGCUUUAGAAAUGAAAACUUUAGGUGAUUCUGAUGUAAUUUUUUAAAUAAUAGCUAUAUUGAGAUAUAAUUCACAGUUGAAUUCACAUACAAUCUCCCAGGUAGAAUGUGCAAUUCAAUGGUUUUCAGUAUCUUCACAGAGCUAUGCAAUCCUUUCUGCAAUUUUAGAACGUUUUCAUCUCACAAAAAGAAAUCACAUACACUUUACCUGCUCAAUGACCCACUCUCUCUGCCCCCUACUAACCAGCUUUCUCUCUCUAUGGAUUUGCCUAUUCUGGAUGCUUCAUAUAAAAGGAGUCACACACUAUGUGACCUUUUGUGUCUGGCUUCUUUCACUUAGCGGGAUACUUUCAAGGUCUAACCACAUUGUAGCACAAAUCAGUACUUCAUUCCUUUGAAUUGCACAAGAAUAUUACAUGGUGUGGGAAGAAGACAUUUUGUUUAUCCACCCACCUGCUGAUGGACACGUAGGUAACUGCAUGAUUUUCCCAAAAGCACCUUCUGGAGCCACACAGCCAGGUGAGUGGUGACUGGGUGAUUUAGCAUUCCCGUCUGCAGGUGUGGAAGGAGGUUCACAGGGGUUCAGAUUACAUGCUCAAUCUCACCCAGUUUACUGGUGACAGAGCCCUGGUAGGUCCAAGCCCCCGACCCACCAUCCAGUGACAUGUACCUCAUGGAGGUGUCUGCACUGAAGGUUACACAACUGGCAGAAGGAAAGAAAACAGGAAACCCCCUCCUUCCAUCUGUUGAACCAGGCUGCCCCAUGCUGGCUCUGCUACUGAGCAAUGACCCAGGAGAUCCCCUUUACUGAGCACUAAGAACCUUCUGUAGUAUGUCACCUUGUCGAACCCUAAGACAGCAUCAUAGGAUGUGCCUAUUCCACCCCACCCCCACCCACCACUAUCAGCGCAAGGAAUGAGGGCUUAGAGAAACAAUACCUGGCUGCCACCCAGGGUUCUCAGAUGGUUUUGUACCUCAACGUCCCUUGUGGACAAGGUGGGCCCAGGAAUAGGCCUUUUAAAUAAGGGCCUAUGUUGCCUCUGAUGCAUCAUCUGACCACCACACAUGAAGAAACCAUGCACCACCCCAAACAUCUGGGGCAGGUGAGGGGGCUGCGGGUACUCACAGGAGACUCCUUCAGCAACUCCCUGAAGUCCUUUCACAAAAGGCAUGGCAGGCUGGUGCCCAGGACUGUGCAGGGACUUGAGAGGCCCCUUUGGAUGGAGAGGAGGCUUCUCACGGCCUCGCUGUCCCCAGGCACCUGUGGGAACAGCUUCCAUACUUGGGUGCAGGGACGGAGACCCUUCCCUGAGGGCCACCUUGGUGCCCUUCCUCAGGCACAGACCAGAGGAAAACUCGGUUCCAGCACAUCCUCCACUAUUAAGUAUUGUCCCCUCAGCCACCUGACCUUCAGGCAGGCCCUGCCCUCCAGCGUGCUGGGAGGUGGCAGGGCUGGGAUUGGAUGCUGAGCCGGGCAACUCGGGGACCAGGAACUCACCAGCAGGGCAGUCCUGUGGCUGUGACCCUGCCAGACAGCUCAGCUCCUCCCCAGGCAUGGGGUGGGAGUAGGGGGCAGGAUCUGCCAACCCUUUCCUCCUCCCCUCCCUCAUUUGCUCUUGAGGUGGCUGAAAGUUCAAAUGAGACCCCCGGCAGAGUGCCUGGGAGGCAACACGCUAAAUACAUGUUGGGGUUCAGAGUCAGCAUAGCCAAUAAUUUGGGGCUUAUUUGGGACGGGAUGCAGCAGGCAACCCCCACCCCCAUCUGGGCCAGCCAGGCUGGGCAGGGUGGGGGUAAGAGGUGGGCCCAGGAGCCUCCCCAGGCUGUGCUGACUCAGCAGCCAGCCAGGCGCUUCGCUGACUGGGCAAUCUUCCCUGCUCUGUGCUGUCUCCUGCAGCCCUCUCAGCGCUGGCUACGGACAGCAGGGACCAGAGAUGGGAACCAGAGCCGGCUCCAUCCUUCAUGCAGAAAGAAAGAUGUGCAAGUGAAGGAAAGAGGCCACUUCUCAGCUGCUCUUUCAAGCCUCUUUAAGCAGAGGAAAUGUUCCUUCUGCCAAAGAGACCCCAGGGUGGGGGUGGGAGAGAAAAGUGCUUUGGGGGCUUCCACGUGCCCCACUGCAUGUCAAAACAGGUGAAAAUCCUGGGCAGGGUUUAGUGUUUUGACCUGGUGGGCAGAGAAGCCUGAGGAGGAGGAGCAGCUCCCCGACUCCCACUGUAUCAGGCAGGGGCUGAGUUGGUGGACUCCAGUGGGGAAUUAAAGAGCCCCUCGGAAUUGCCUAGCUCGACCUUCUCAUUUUCACUGAGGAGGACGCUCAGAGAGGACAAGGUCACAUAGCAAGAAGGAACAUGGCUGGGCCUAGAGCAGGUCCUAAGACUCAGAGCAGCGUGGGGGGAAGGCAAUGUGACUCUCCAAAGCUGGUCCUUGGACCGUUGAUGUCAGGGUCACCCACAUUCUCGUAAGAUGAGAGUUCCCGGGACCCACUGAGGGAAAAUCACAGGGUGACUUUUAUGUGCUCUCGGAUAUGGGAGUUUCUGCUACAGAGGUUGCAAGUGGGGCUGGAGAUCUGGGUUCAGAUCCUGUCUUUGGCUUUAGGCAACUACUUGGUCUCUAAUCCUUGGUCUCCAUCUGUAUAAUGGGUACGUGAAACUUUCCCGGGAAGGGUUUAUGCAGUGCUGGUACGUGGAGGGUGCUCCAUGAUGGGCAAGUAUGCCUCUGGUCACCUGUUAGCUCAAGGCCAGCUCCUGUCCUGGCUGCUUCUUGGUGGGGACUGGGUGGAGGGCAGUGUCCUGCAUCCGCUGACAUGCAUGGGGGAUGCUGUGCUCAGCUGGUGAUAAAGAGGACACUUUGGUGACUGUCCUUGGCUUGUCCCCCUGGGCAGGUCUAAACCCCAUGGAGGGAGGGAGCACAGAGAGGGCCCUGAGUCUCAAGCCCAGUCACAAGAUGUCACAGGGUGGAUUCCUGGGGAGAGGGAGGCAGGCACAGAGCGAACUCACCACCGUGGGGUCCCCUGGCUUGCUGGUCAGCAGGAACAGGAGAGUGCUUGCCGAGGAGGGAGUGCUGGUGGACUCAGAUCCUGCAGUGUGCAUGCAGGGCUGAAUAGCCAGGACCCUCCAGAGAGGUGUGGUGAGAUCUGAGGAUUGGCUGACAGCAGAGGCCCCUACCCUCUCUGUCCUUGGUGUGUCUUUGCGCCAUGCAGCCUUUAUUUCCUGUUGCGGAAGGUGCAACCAUGAGACUCAUGGCUUUAGAUGGGCUUCUUGACAUUCAAAAGUCAAGAACAGAAUUUUCUCGAGAUGUACAGAUAUAGAUCUAGAUUUAGAUAUAUCUUUAGAAACAGCCACAUGAGGCCACAGUCUCUUUGGGGAGGACUUGGGGACUGCAGGGCAGUCCUGGCUGCUGGGGAGGGAGCGGCCAAGAGAUCAGGUACAGAAUGAACCAGAGCAGUUUUCUCAAACUUGGCCAUACAUCUGAGCUACCCAGGAAGUGUUUAAAACCCCUAAUGCUCGGACCACACCCAGGCCCCAGUUAAAUCAAAGGAUUUUAAUUCUCCAGGUGAUUCCAAUGCACUAUCAAGUUUGAGGAUCACUGUCUCCAUCCUAGCUGCAGUUAGCUUCACCUGGGAAGUUUAAAGCCUGGAAUCAGAAUCUCUUGUGGGGGGGGUCCCCACUGUGGCACAGUGAGUUAAGAAUCCGACAGCAGUGGCUCAGGUCACAGCGGAGGUGCAGGGUCAAUCCCUAGCCUGGCGCAGGUACAGAAGGUUAAAAGAUCCAGCGUUGCCACUCAGUCCCUAGCCUGGGAACUUCCACAUGCUGCGGGUAGAAAAAAAAAGGAAAAGAAUCCCUUGAGGGGUAGGGCCCAGUUGCUGGUGUUUUUGAAAAGGUGUUCCAUCUUGCUGUAUAGCACAGGGAACUAUUAUCUAGUCACUUGUGAUAAUGUGAGAAAAAGUAUAUAUAUCUAUGUAUUUAUAUAGAUACAUAUAUAUAACUGCAUCACUCUGCUGUACAGCGGAAAUUGACAGAACAUCAUAAAUCAACUAUAAUGGAAUUAAAAUCUUUAAAAAGUUUUUUAAAAAGAAAGAAAAGCUGCCUCCAGGGUGGAGUAUCACAAAUAACAUCAUGGCCGUGGUGUGAUUCCUCUGCCACCUGGGUGCACAGGUGUGACUCUGCUACAGUGUUUUUUGGGGGCAUCCUGGCGCCGAGACCAAUUGCCCGGCAGCUGUGUGGAAAGAAAAGACGCAGCUCAUUAAACCUGUAUCCCACAGAUCAGAGUGGCACUUCAGCCUUGAGGGCUGCAAUGCCAGUGCACCUAGGGAUGGUUCACAGGUAGCACCACAAGUCUUCUCCAAGGCUGCCGAUUACCUCCCCUCUGCCUCUUCAACUAGGCAGUGUUUGGGGCCUCACAGGCAGAGCCACCCUCUGAAGGGACAAUUUCAGCAAAGGAAGCAUUACGAAUGUGGGAAGAAUAUCAGUGUGACCCUGGGCAAGACACUCUCUGGCUUUAGUCUUUUUCUUUUUAAGAAGGAUGGUAGUUUUUUGGCCUUCCUUGAAGAGGAAGCAUGCUUCAGACACUCUGAAAAAGUCAGGUACAAUGAGUUUUUAGAAGAUGAUAGCUCCAGGAGUUCCUGUGUGGUUCAGCAGGUUAAGGAUCUGGCCUUGUCACUGCUGUGGCUCUGGUUACAGCUGUGGCAAGGGUUGGAUCCCUGACCGGGGAACUUCUGCAUGCCACACACAAGAAAAGCAAAACAAAAAAAGUUAAUUGCUCCAGCCCCUCCUAGAUGUCAGAAGGCAAAAAUUGCACUGCAGAAGUGGGCUAACUGAGGCUUGGGGGGCUAAGUCUCGUGGAGCCAGGGUACAAGGUCAACAUCGUGUGCAGCCACAAUUACCCUCAAAAAUCCCCUAGUGAUCAUGAGGUUUGGUCCAUAUAGUUUUAUGCACAUGACCCUGUGCAAUAUUAAUAUAUAUUAAUAUGCAUGAUAUAUAUGCAAAUGGCCUGUAACACACUGUGCAUGAGUGCUUGCGUAUGGCAAGACAUAAUUUUAAAGAGUAUUUUUCCCCCCAUUUAAAUUGUUCACUUUUCCCUUUUUCUUUCUUCUCCUUUGUUCCAACCCGCUAAUUCUUCCCCUACAAGCUCUUUGCUCCUGGUGGGGAACCAGAAUUGAACCUUAGUUUGACUUCAUCUUUGUAUUUAAUCUCAUCCCAGAAUUUAUUACCUUCAGAAAAAGUCAGCAUUCCCUUCAUGGCUCAGCGGUUAACAAACCCGACUAGGAUCCAGGAGGAUGCAGAUUCGAUCUGUGGCCUCGCUCAGUGGGUUAAGGAUCUGGCAUUGCUGUGAGCUGUGAUGAGGUCACAAACAUGGCUUGGAUCCCGAGUCACUGGCAGCUGUAGCUUCGAUAUAACCCCUAGCCUGGGAACUUCCAUAUGCCUUGACCCUAAAAAGACAAAAAAAAAAAAAAAAAAAAAAA